UACGGAGGGUGCAAGCGUUAUCCGGAUUCACUGGGUUUAAAGGGUGCGUAGGUGGCUAUAUAAGUCAGUGGUGAAAGCCCGCGGCUCAACCGUGGAAUUGCCAUUGAAACUGCAUAGCUUGAGUACAGUUGAAGUGGGCGGAAUACAUCAUGUAGCGGUGAAAUGCUUAGAUAUGAUGUAGAACACCGAUUGCGAAGGCAGCUCACUAAGCUGUAACUGACACUGAGGCACGAAAGCCAGGGGAGCGAACGGG
rnacentral:rRNA from 1 species